ACAGGAGCGAAUCCCAAACCACGUCUCAGUUCGGAUCGGAGUCUGCAACCCGACUCCGUGAAGCUGGAUUCGCUAGUAAUCGCGCAUCAGCCAUGGCGCGGUGAAUACGUUCCCGGGCCUUGUACACACCGCCCGUCAAGCCAUGGGAGCCGGGGGUACCUGAAGUCCGUAACCGAAAGGAUCGGCCUAGGGUAAAACUGGUGACUGGGGCUAAGUCGUAACAAGGUACC
rnacentral:rRNA from 1 species